ensembl:misc_RNA Y_RNA Y RNA
GGUUGAUCUGAAGGUAGUGAGUUAUUUCAAUUGAUUGUUCACAGUCAGUUACAGAUAGAAUUCCUUCUUCUACUUUCCGUCCCCAUCUCACUACUGCAGUUGACUAGUCUUUU